rnacentral:lncRNA from 1 species
CCUUUUUAUAUUCAAAAGCAAACAGAUUGGUUGGGUUUUGCUUAUAUUUCUUUAUUUUAUUUUAUUUCUACUUUUCUAAAAUUUAUUUAUUUAUUUAUUUAUUUGUUUUACUCUAAAGUAUUCUUAUUUAAAGUAUUCUUAUUUUCUGUUAACUUAGAAAGCUCUGAGGGGACGUUUGUCCCUGGAGAUUUCUGAGAAAUAUGUAGAUGUGGUACUUAGGGACAUGUUUAGUGGUCAGUGUUGAUAGAAGGUGGAUGGUUGGACUAGAUUAUCUUUGAGAUCUUUUCCAACAUUCAUGAUUCUAUGUUGAGCUCCACAAAAAGGGCUGUUUGGAGCAGCCUCAUCUUGCCUCUCAUGGGAAGAUGCCCCUCCUGAGACCUUGUAGUGGAUAUGCCAAGUAAUGGCCUGAAACAGUAAUUGAGCACCUGCUGGUAGGCAGGACCAAUCUGUGGGAGCUCAGGUGCAUGUAGUGCCCCUGAACGAAUGACCAGAUGGGGUGGAUCCUGUCUCCUCCCCUUCCCAGACCUCAUCUAUGGGUUUGCAGUGGAGUUGAAAUCAUCUAGCUGAAAUUUCCUGCCUACCUGAAGUCUUCCAAAGGUAAGUGGCUCCUUUACUUCAUUUUUGUGUCCUUGUUUGCUGCAGCCAAGUACUUUGUUACCUUGCUCUACUUUCCAUCACAUUAUGACAUUACAGCCCCUGAUGUCACAAUACUGGUACCUCUACAGUGUGCCAUGGUGCCAGAACAGUGCACAGAAGUGGAUCCAGUAUGCUCAGUGAAGAGCCAUUAUUAGCUGUGGGGAAAAAAAGACUCAAGCAAGCAUUUCAAGUGCUUGGUUGCUGUGUAUGUAUGUGUGUAUGUAUGAAAACAAACCAAAGAUGUGUUUCUGCAUUGGUUACUGUGAGUCAACAGAGAAAUUCUUGGGUUGUUUGUAGCACUCUAGGUUUGUGAUAGAAAUUUGGAGAACAAGACAGUAGAUACACAGUUGUGAAGAAAGAGCCCUGGGACUGACAAGACAUAAUAUUCACCUCAGGAACUUUAACUUCUCAGAGGUGAGAAAAGGUUGGGAAAAAAAGAAGAGAAAGAAGCAGUCUCUAAGGGAGAAAAGAAAGGAUUUAAAAUGUUAUUUUAAUGAAGAAAGAGAGGUAAGGAGAGGUAAGGAGAGGAAAAAAUCAGCUAUCAAAGAUGCUCAGAAAGACCAUAGUACAAAGCAGAGUGGGGGUUGUUAGAGAUGACAGAAGAAUAUUCAAGGUAGUUCUAAUGCUAAAUAGAGGACUCCAGGUUGAAGGAUGAGUGACAGAAAGCAGAACACAAGAGCAAAGCACUAACCUUGUGUAAGCACUGCUUCUGUGUAACUAAAUACUAAUCAUUGUUAAUCAUUGGUAUACACAGGAGAAGCAGAAGCCAGGCACAUACAGAGUCCAAUCUCAUGAAAUCUAUCCACAGAAGUGACCAAGCCUCCUUUCAGGUACCCUAGCCAUAGACAAACAGGGAAUGAUGCCAAAACUGGCUGGUGCCAUUGACAAAUACAAGAAAGUAUUAGAAGUUGGCACGGUGGGCAUAUUCAGCUAAGCCUGCUUUCUCUUUUCCCAGAGAAGAGUACUUUAAAAAAAGGAAAAAAAGUAGUCUUUGGAGAAAGACACUUUUAACAAGAUCUUUUCUGUUUGCUCCAUUCCCCUGUGAGGGUUCAGAGCACUGGAAUUUCUGUAGGCCUCUGUUUGAAAAUAAGCAGCUAAUGAAAAGGUAUGUGCAUGGCUUACUACCCUAAACUAGUCCUCUUAGAAUAUCCUGGGAUUUGCCAAAGCACUAAAUGACGUUGGCAUAGAACACUUUAAGGGAAAAGUCACCUUUAUUCUUUGCUUUUCAGUAUUUAGAAAUGUAGCUUCAGUUUCCUUUGUGUUUUUCGUAUAAAAGAAAUUCAUUUUGAAUAGAGAUGGGUCCAUUUCUUUAG